UUGGGAAUAUUGGACAAUGGAGGAAACUCUGAUCCAGUGACGCCGCGUGAAGGAAGAAGGUCUUCGGAUUGUAAACUUAUUUUAUCAGGGAAGAAACAAAUGACUGUACCUGAAGAAGAAGGACCGGCAAACUACGUGCCAGCAGCCGCGGUAAUACGUAGGGUCCGAGCGUUAUCCGGAUUUACUGGGUAUAAAGGGCGAGUAGACGGUUUAGCAAGUCAGAUGUGAAAACUUGGAGCUCAACUCCAAGCCUGCAUCUGAAACUGUUAGACUAGAGUGCAGGAGAGGUAAGCGGAAUUCCUAGUGUAGCGGUGAAAUGCGUAGAUAUUAGGAGGAACACCAGUGGCGAAGGCGGCUUACUGGACUGUAACUGACGUUGAGGAGCGAAAGUGUGGGGAGCAAACAGG
rnacentral:rRNA from 1 species